rnacentral:rRNA from 1 species
UCGGGAAUUUUGGGCAAUGGGCGAAAGCCUGACCCAGCAACGCCGCGUGAAGGAUGAAGUAUUUCGGUAUGUAAACUUCGAAAGAAUAGGAAGAAUAAAUGACGGUACCAUAUGUAAGCCACGGCUAACUUCGUGCCAGCAGCCGCGGUAAUACGAAGGUGGCAAGCGUUGUUCGGAAUUACUGGGCGUAAAGCGCGUGUAGGCGGCUCUUCAAGUCAGACGUGAAAGCCCCAGGCUCAACCUGGGAACUGCGUUUGAUACUGUCGAGCUAGAGUGUGGAAGGGGCAAUCGGAAUUCCGUGUGUAGCGGUGAAAUGCGUAGAUAUACGGAGGAACACCAGAGGCGAAGGCGGAUUGCUGGGCCAACACUGACGCUGAGACGCGAAAGCCAGGGUAGCAAACGGGAUUAGAUACCCACGUAGUCCCUGAGCGGGCUGGCAAGGCGCAU